GGGCCAGGCGCCCCGCAGCCUGAUCCCUCGGCUGAGGCGGGGUCAGAGGGCUAAGGGUGACUGACUGCCCAGUGCAUGGAUCUCAGCAGCACGGCUUGACUUUCGGGCGGCAGGCAAGGAUGCUAAUCCACAAGGUUCCUGAGUCCAACAUCCCUCCCUCCAAUGUGGGGCUCGAAUCCGCUAUUGCAACCAAACCCGGGUUCUGCCCGCAGGGUGGCGCAAUGACAAGAGCCACCAGGUGACCCUGGUAACUCCCGCACCUAGACCUACAGGAGCAGUUUUUCUGCAGCACCACAUCUGUAGCCCUGCAUGCCGCUGGCUCCAGUGUUGUGUGUGUGGUCAUGCUCCAUCCAGCCCAGCAGCAACUUUGGUGUUUGACACCCCUCGGGAGGCACCGCUUUGGAAGAGACUGGUGUGUGCGGAGCCCAAGAUGUGUUGGGAACAGCUAUCGUUUCUACUGCUUUGUCCCAUGCCUCUGGAGCUCCUGGGUUCCUGAACUUCAAGCUGGGCCCCAUCCUUCACCCUAUCAGGGCCCUGGGUGGAGCUGACUUCCAACAGUAUACAGUGGGUCUUGGUACUUCCUCCUUGGCAUUCGACAGUUGGUGUUUUUGAAGUCAGAGCCAUCCUCAGUAGGCUCCUAGGGGAUCGUAAGCGGCUUUCUCUGGGUGGAAACCUACUCCAUGCAGCCUUCAGCAAAGGUACCAGCAUCUGUCACUGGGAUGGGGAAGUCCGGUGAUCGUGUCAGCAUGGGCUACGGUGGACGGGGAAAGGCUCGUUCUGACACUAGACACCUGGGUCUCUAGCCCUAUGCCUGGAUUUGUCUGGGGAACUCUGCACCACACUGAUCCUGGCUUUCCCCAUUACCUGCUCCAUGCCAGGAUCCUACGGCUGUUGAUCCCCUCGGAAGUGAGACAUAAUGUCCCGGAGCAGAUGCUGAUGGGGACUCACUGUUGGGCCACCUGAUUUCUGUGUUCAUCUUCCCAGGCUCCACCUUUCAGAUCCCAUCCCUGGUGUCUGCAGUUACAACUUUACUAACCAGAACUUUGUUUCCAGCUUACGCUGAAAAGCAAAGGGUGACUUAGAAUAAAAAUGUAACAAAUAGCCCCAUAGCCCAAACCUUUUCUGCCAUGAUUUACUGUACCAGAUACCUAUAAGUGUCCAGGGCAAAUUAAACACAUCAAUAAAUGGCUUUCUUG
rnacentral:lncRNA from 1 species